GUUCAAUUGCAGUUCCAUUUCCAAUGACUUCCGCCGAAGCUCUUCCAUAUCCCACUGCAUCUGGGUGACCCUUUCCCUUUCAAUCAAGAUUGCUUGCUCAAGGUUUUCUUUGCUUUUCUGUUUAGUAGCCUCGAGCUCCACUUCCAAAUCCUUAACCUUAGUUGUGAGGUAGUCUUUCACAGCAAUUUCCUGAUUUAAUCUCGAGAUAAGAUCCUCCAUAUCAGUUUUUG
rnacentral:misc_RNA from 1 species